GACAUAGGUGGCAAGCGUUGCGCGGAAUCAUUGGGCUUAAAGCGCGUGUAGGCGGCUUUAUAAGUCUGCUGUGGAAUUCCAGAGCUUAACUCUGGAACGCCCGUGGAAACUAUAAGGCUAGAGUCAGGUAGAGGCGAGCGGAAUUCCCGGUGUAGCGGUGAAAUGCGUAGAUAUCAGGAGGAAGGCCGAUGGCGAAGGCAGCCCUCUGGGACUGUACUGACGCUGAGACGCGAAAGCGUGGGGAGCAAACAGG
rnacentral:rRNA from 1 species